CCCAUUUGGUGUGAAAAUACAGGAUGUUGAAUAUGAUUGGAAACCUGAAUUUUGCAAUCAUUGUUUGAAGUUUGGGCAUAAUGCUAUGGAUUGCUGGUACAAUAGUCAUACAGAUGGAAAUCAUGAGCAGGAAGUAAAAGCAAACCUAGAGAGGAACAAGGGGAGGACAAAGAAGCAAAGGCAAAAAUGGAUCUCUAAAGGUAACAUUGCAGCAAAUCCCGCUGUUGACAAUACUGAAGGCAAUGUAACAGUUCCUAAUCUUCCAAUUAGUUAGUUACCAUUGGCUGAAGGCAAUGUAACAGUAAAUCCUAAUCUUCCAAUGAAAUCACGAUUGGCUGAAGUAGGAAAUACUGUCAAUGCAGGACAUCAUAGAGACAUAUCAAGGGUCUCCAUUGGUACUGACAUGGCUGCUAGUGUAGAAUCUUUGGAUACACAUGGAAGACCUGAGAUUGUAGCUGCUGUGAACAUAUUGCAGGAGGUAACUGGN
rnacentral:lncRNA from 1 species